UUUAAUUUGGGUUCACAUUUUUAAUAAUUAAUUUAUUUCCAACUGUAUGGAUAUAUUGUUCAGUUGCUCAAGUUCCGUGUAAUGUAUGCAAACAUUAUAUGUUAAUUAACUCUAUAGUCUGUAGAAACAUUAAAAAGAAAUAUAGUGCAUGUAUUUUACAUGCAACAAUUUUUCCGUCAACAAACGACAACCGGCCCAAAGGCCGUUUUCCACUAGGCUUAAUUUUCCGCGCCGAGUGGAAUUUUUCUUUGUCUUGUGAUUACUCAGGUGGAACUAAUUAGAAGACAUAAAGAGAAAUUCCGCUCCGCGCGGAAAAUUAAGCCUAGUGGAAAGUGGCCUUUAAUCUGUCCGUUAUAAUUUUGCGCCCUGAUCAUCACCACUACAUAAUACUCUAAUGAAGAAGACACGAGCUUACGAAUAGAAAGCUUUUCUAAAUAGUGUUUUCAAAAAAAUAAACCUCCUUAAGUAUGACAAUCGCAUGAGUUCAUUUUAGAAUAUGCACAAUAAGACUGCAGUGCGGGCAAUUCACGGAGAAAAACGGAAACACCACAUCAGCAUCCACAUGAAACACUUUCCGUCGAAAAAUAGACUUCGACCUUCCAGGCGAAACUGCCAAAGAUUUUCUCUCCAUAUCAAGAUUCAAAAAGACAGUGCUAAUCUUUUUCGCCGGUGUGACGCGAAAUUCCUGACUUGCGAAAUAUCUGACUAUUGUAGAACUGCCCAUGCGCAGACGAUGCGCAUGAAUGACUUUGGCUCAUAAAUUUCGCAAUUCAACAGACAACACGUGUAUUUAUAAAGUCAUUUUAUCUAUACAUAAAUUUUCCAACAUCAAUUCUACAAUUGAUCAACUGAAUUGACACUAUACCACUGACUGUGAACGUUAGCGUUCAGCGAUAAUAAAGCUUGAAUCGCAGAUAUGGAAAAAAUCACUCGAAAAGCGAUCUAUCUUAGUGAUAUAAAAUAGACUCCAGCAGUUUCAAAGGUUAUGCUAUAUGCAUUACUAUACUAUAUUAAAGCACUAAAAAUCGUUUCGCGUUUGAC